rnacentral:rRNA from 1 species
GUCGAGGGGCAGCAUUUCUAGCUUGCUAGAAGAUGGCGACCGGCGCACGGGCGAUUAACGCGUAUGCAACCUACCUUUCACAGGGGGAUAGCCCAAAGAAAUUUGGAUUAACACCGCAUAAUAUGAUUGAUUCGCAUGGAUUAAUUAUUAAAUCUUCGGAGGUGAAAGAUGGGCAUGCGUAGCAUUAGUUAGUUGGUGAGGUAAUGGCUCACCAAGACGAUGAUGCUUAGGGGGUCUGAGAGGAUAGUCCCCCACACUGGUACUGAGACACGGACCAGACUCCUACGGGAGGCAGCAGUGAGGAAUAUUGGUCAAUGGACGCAAGUCUGAACCAGCCAUGUCGCGUGCAGGAUGACGGCCCUAUGGGUUGUAAACUGCUUUUUUACAGGAAUAAACGUUGCUACGUGUAGUGAUUUGAAUGUACUGUAUGAAUAAGGAUCGGCUAACUCCGUGCCAGCAGCCGCGGUAAUACGGAGGAUUCGAGCGUUAUCCGGAUUUAUUGGGUUUAAAGGGUCCGUAGGCGGUUCUUUAAGUCAGUGGUGAAAUCCCAGAGCUCAACUCUGGAACUGCCAUUGAAACUGAAGAACUUGAAUAUGGUUGAGGUAGGCGGAAUACGUUAUGUAGCGGUGAAAUGCAUAGAUAUAACGUAGAACACCAAUUGCGAAGGCAGCUUACUAAACCAUUAUUGACGCUGAUGGACGAAAGCGUGGGGAGCGAACAGGAUUAGAUAGCCUGGUAGUCCACGCUGUAAACGAUGAUUACUCGUUGUGCACAAUACAUCGUGCGUGACUGAGCGAAAGCAUUAAGUAAUCCACCUGGGGAGUACGUUCGCAAGAAUGAAACUCAAAGGAAUUGACGGGGGCCCGCACAAGCGGAGGAACAUGUGGUUUAAUUCGAUGAUACGCGAGGAACCUUACCUGGACUUAAAUGUAGAUUGACCGGUCUGGAAACGGAUCUUCUCUUCGGAGCAAUUUACAAGGUGCUGCAUGGUUGUCGUCAGCU